GGGCCCGUAGUAUAAUGGCAACACGUAUCCAUGGCAUGGAUAAAUUCGGGGUUCGACUCCCCGCGGGUCCA
rnacentral:tRNA from 1 species